GCUGGCGGCAUGCUUAACACAUGCAAGUCGAACGGCAGCGCGGGGAGCUUGCUCUCUGGCGGCGAGUGGCGGACGGGUGAGUAACGCGUGGGAAUCUGCCCUGUAGUGGGGGAUAACCCGAGGAAACUCGGGCUAAUACCGCAUACGACCUUUGGGUGAAAGUGGCUCUUUCGGGGGACACGCUAUGGGAUGAGCCUGCGUCCGAUUAGCUAGUUGGUGGGGUAAAGGCUCACCAAGGCGACGAUCGGUAGCUGGUCUGAGAGGAUGAUCAGCCACACUGGGACUGAGACACGGCCCAGACUCCUACGGGAGGCAGCAGUGGGGAAUAUUGGACAAUGGGGGCAACCCUGAUCCAGCAAUGCCGCGUGUGUGAAGAAGGCCUGCGGGUUGUAAAGCACUUUCAGUGGGGAAGAUGGGCUGCGUGUAACGAGCGUGGUUUGACGUUACCCACAGAAGAAGCACCGGCUAACUCCGUGCCAGCAGCCGCGGUAAUACGGAGGGUGCGAGCGUUAAUCGGAAUUACUGGGUGUAAAGCGCGCGUAGGCGGCUGGGUAAGUCAGAUGUGAAAUCCCCGGGCUCAACCUGGGAAUUGCAUUUGAUACUGCCUGGCUAGA
rnacentral:rRNA from 1 species